AUUGAACGCUGGCGGCAGACCUAACACAUGCAAAUCGAACGAGGGGCGGACGGGUGAGUAAUGUCUGGUAAAAUGCCUGAUGGAGGGGGAUAACUACUGGAACCGUUAGCUAAUAGCGCAUACCAUCGUAUUUUCCCAGAUGGGCUUAGCUAGUAGGUGGGGUAAAGGCUCACCUAGGCGACUAUCCCUAGCUGGUCUGAGAGGAUGACCAGCCACACUGGAACUGAGACACGGUCCAGACUCCUACGGGAGGCAGCAGUGGGGAAUAUUGCACAAUGGGCGCAAGCCUGAUGCAGCCAUGCCGCGUGUAUGAAGAAGGCCUUCGGGUUGUAAAGUACUUUCAGCGGGGAGGCGUUACCCGCAGAAGAAGCACCGGCUAACUCCGUGCCAGCCGCCGCGGUAAUAC
rnacentral:rRNA from 1 species